rnacentral:tRNA from 1 species
GCCAGUGUGGCUCAGUGGAUAGAGCGUCAGCCUGCAGGACUGAAGGGUCCCGGGUUCAAUUCUGGUCAAGGGCA